rnacentral:rRNA from 1 species
AGAGAGAGACAUGCGCGCAUAUCAAUAAGCGGAGGAAAAGAAACUAACAAGGAUUCCCUUAGUAACGGCGAGUGAAGCGGGAAGAGCUCAAAUUUGAAAUCUUCAAGGUUUUACCUUGACGAAUUGUAGUUUAAAGAAGUGUUUUCUGCUGAAGUCUUGGUAAAAGUUCUUUGGAAUAGGACAUCAUAGAGGGUGAGAAUCCCGUAUUUGACCAUUAUUUUCAGCUUUGUGAUACACUUUCAAAGAGUCGGAUUGUUUGGGAAUGCAGUCCAAAAUGGGUGGUAAAUUUCAUCUAAAGCUAAAUAUUGGCGAGAGACCGAUAGCGAACAAGUACCGUGAGGGAAAGAUGAAAAGAACUUUGAAAAGAGAGUUAAACAGUACGUGAAAUUGUCAAAAGGGAAGCGUUUGACACCAGUGUUGUUUUCUCGAAAAUCAAUUAAAAAUGGCCUCGACUUUUGUAUUGCUUGAGACCUUAAAAGCUCACUGUACAUUUUUCGUGUCUUUUUUAAUGCACUUUUCGUUUAACAAGUCAACAUCAGCUUCUUUUGUCGUAAAAGGGUCAUUGGAAGGUGGCUUUCUUUUCGGAGAAAGUGUUUAUAGCCUUUGGCCUCUGCAAUCGGAGAGACUGAGGUCUGCAGCGUAGACUCUUCGGGGUUAGAUACAUUUGUGCUAAGUUAUAGCUUUUUAUAGACAACUUGUUGACUAUAAUUAGUCUUGUAGCUUACUCGCUUAUGCUAUUUUACCUACGCUUAGGAUGUUGAGUCGUAGAGCACGCAG